CGUAGGGGGCAAGCGUUGUCCGGAUUCAUUGGGCGUAAAGAGCUCGAGGCGGUUCAGUAAGUCGGGUGUGAAAGCUCCGAGCUCAACUCGGAGAGGCCACCCGAUACUGCUGUGACUUGAGUCCAGUAGAGGAGCGUGGAACUCCUGGUGUAGCGGUGGAAUGCGCAGAUAUCAGGAAGAACACCUGCAGCGAAGGCGGCGCUCUGGGCUGGAACUGACGCUGAGGAGCGAAAGCGUGGGUAGCAA
rnacentral:rRNA from 1 species